UACGAAGGGGGCUAGCGUUGCUCGGAAUCACUGGGCGUAAAGGGUGCGUAGGCGGGUCUUUAAGUCAGGGGUGAAAUCCUGGAGCUCAACUCCAGAACUGCCUUUGAUACUGAAGAUCUUGAGUUCGGGAGAGGUGAGUGGAACUGCGAGUGUAGAGGUGAAAUUCGUAGAUAUUCGCAAGAACACCAGUGGCGAAGGCGACACACUGGGCCAUUACUGACGCUGAGGCGCGAAAGCUAGGGGAGCAAACAGG
rnacentral:rRNA from 1 species